rnacentral:rRNA from 1 species
GAUGAACGCUAGCGGCAGGCCUAACACAUGCAAGUCGAGGGGUAGUUGUCUUCGGACAAUGAGACCGGCGCACGGGUGAGUAACGCGUAUGCAAUCUACCUUGUACUAAGGGAUAGCCCAGAGAAAUUUGGAUUAAUACCUUAUAGUUAAUAGAGUUGGCAUCGACUUUAUUAUAAAGAUUAAUUGGUAUAAGAUGAGCAUGCGUCCCAUUAGUUAGUUGGUAAGGUAACGGCUUACCAAGACGAUGAUGGGUAGGGGUCCUGAGAGGGAGAUCCCCCACCCUGGUACUGAGACACGGACCAGACUCCUACGGGAGGCAGCAGUGAGGAAUAUUGGUCAAUGGGCGCAAGCCUGAACCAGCCAUGCCGCGUGCAGGAUGAAGCAUCUAUGGUGUGUAAACUGCUUUUGUACGGGAAGAAAAAAAGCUACGUGUAGCUUACUGACGGUACCGUAAGAAUAAGGAUCGGCUAACUCCGUGCCAGCCGCCGCCGUAA